UGGCUCUCUGGGUUAGCACAAGCUGCACCUGCUCGCAAUCACACACCUGUUCCUGGUCAGCCAUCUCCACUGCUUCUUAAAGAGAGGCCUGAAAACCUGUUCCUGCUGGAUUGCUAAGUCUUGAGCCAUCACCUGUUCCGCUCACUCAGCCUGCCAAGCCAGCCCCAGUCCUCACCUGCCAGCCGCUCAGAAGGAAAACCCCAGUGCCCCUGUCUUUAGUUCACUCACUCGGUUUACAGAAAUAAACUGUAAACCGCUGCAUUGCCUCCUCAUCUGCAUCUGGGUUCAGGCAUAAUUCCUGACACACUGGUGUACACCAGAGGUUAGAAAGGACUGGGAAUGAAACUCAGACCAGCCAACCAAACCCCCCUCAGCAAUAAAUCACCAAGCAUGCAACUCUUUAUGUAAAUAAGAUUACUGAACAAUAAUAGUAGUGUUCUGCAUGUAAAAUGAUGUCAAUAUGUUGCCAAUGUUUUUGUCGGAACCUGGCUACGUUAAUCUCUGAAAGUCAUCUUUUCUGCAUAAAUGUUAUUAGGGAAAAUAUUAAAAUGCAAAAAAAAACAUUAGGAAAUAUACACUUACAGACUUUUGCAGAUUAUCUAAAUUAUGGAUUUAGCUAGAUGGGAACACAGUUACCGAAUGUCACUCGUAUUCAUUAAAAUGUUUUUUGUUUUUAU